rnacentral:rRNA from 1 species
GGUCAAGCGAAUAAGCGCACACGGUGGAUGCCUUGGCGGUCAGAGGCGAUGAAGGACGUGGCAGCCUGCGAAAAGUAUCGGGGAGCUGGCAACAAGCUUUGAUCCGGUAAUGUCCGAAUGGGGAAACCCACCCGCUUGCGGGUAUCCUGCAGUGAAUACAUAGCUGCUGGAAGCGAACCUGGUGAACUGAAAUAUCUAAGUAACCAGAGGAAAAGAAAUCAACCGAGAUUCCGUAAGUAGCGACGAGCGAACGCGGACUAGCCCUUAAGCUGAUUUGGUUCUAGGA